AACGAACGCUGGCGGCAGGCCUAACACAUGCAAGUCGAGCGAGAUCUUCGGGUCUAGCGGCGGACGGGUGAGUAACGCGUGGGAAUAUGCCUCUUGGUACGGAAUAGCCUCGGGAAACUGGGAGUAAUACCGUAUGCGCCCUUUGGGGGAAAGAUUUAUCGCCAAGAGAUUAGCCCGCGUUGGAUUAGGUAGUUGGUGGGGUAAUGGCCUACCAAGCCGACGAUCCAUAGCUGGUUUGAGAGGAUGAUCAGCCACACUGGGACUGAGACACGGCCCAGACUCCUACGGGAGGCAGCAGUGGGGAAUCUUAGACAAUGGGGGCAACCCUGAUCUAGCCAUGCCGCGUGAGUGAUGAAGGCCUUAGGGUUGUAAAGCUCUUUCAGCUGGGAAGAUAAUGACGGUACCAGCAGAAGAAGCCCCGGCUAACUCCGUG
rnacentral:rRNA from 1 species